rnacentral:rRNA from 1 species
UACAGAGGGGGCAAGCGUUGUUCGGAAUUACUGGGCGUAAAGUGUGCGCAGGCGGCGCCGCAAGUCGAGUGUGAAAGCCCCGGGCUUAACUUGGGAAUUGCGCUCGAAACUAUGGUGCUGGAGUGUGGCAGAGGAAGGUGGAAUUCCACGUGUAGCGGUGAAAUGCGUAGAGAUGUGGAGGAACACCGAUGGCGAAGGCAGCCUUCUGGGCCAACACUGACGCUCAUGCACGAAAGCAUGGGGAGCAAACAGG